AGUCGCUAGGCCUGCCCCCUGUUUGCCCCCGGCCCGUCCGUCUCCUACUUUGGCCGCCCGCUCCUGGAGCUCGGAGGCUCGACCCGGUGUGAGCUUCCUCGACAGUCCUGGACCCAGCACCCCCGAGCCUUGGCCGGCUGGGGUUCCUGGGGAUGGGAUUUGAUUACUGCCACAAAUCACAUUGCCAGGGAUUUCCAACUGACCACUGGCCCUGCUGCUGGAGCUGCCAGUGUCCAAAGGGAUCUGAAGACUGCCUGGGCAGCUUCCUGGCUUUGUGGUGAGAGCUGAGGGACCAGAAGAAGAAGACUUGGCAGAGCUAAAGGGAUGCAGAGACCUACUGAACCUAAUGUACAUUCUAUGCAGCAUUUCGGCAAGCUCAGAUUAUAUCUUCCAAAUUCCUACUCUUGCUAACACUCCCAAUUUAGAUGAGAGAUUCUUAGCCUGGGCUUUCCCCUGAGCCACAAGGAACAGCAAAGGGAUACCCCCUGCCUUAGUUUCUUUCUUUCCAUCCCACACCCUAGGCCUAGUAUCCAUCUCCUUUUCCCUGCUUAGGGUUGGCAAGUUACUCAAGAAGAAAUGAUUCCACACCCCUGCCCCAAGACCGUUAAGUGCCAGCCUUGGGCUUCUAGAAUGAGGCUGUCCUCACUCAAAUGGCCCUCCAGUUUCAUGGACCGUGUAGAGCAUCCCCAGAGCGGAAGCCGUUUAUGAGGCCAGGGGCUUUUCUCUUGAACCCUCCCCUUCUAAGGCAUCCCUACUUGCCUUGACCUCUAGGGAGAGAGGGGAAGGGAAAGGUAUAGGCCGUGCUCCCAGGGGUAAAGGAACAGUGGCUACAAAAGCUUCUCUCUUCAACCAGGUUACUCCCAAGCUCCAAGAACUGCAGCCCCAUGAGACUUGGAUUGAUUCCCACAGCCUCACUGCUGCUUCCAAUGGAGGAUGUAUUUCUGACUCUCUCCUAUCUCCAUCCUUAAAGUGCACAUCGUCAUAGUACCUUAAGUACCUUCCUCUACUCUGAGUGUAUAUAUGUGAUAAAGGCAGGAAGGAGCCUGGGCCAUUCUUCUCCAGGAAGUGGCUCCUGUUCUAAGAGAUGGGCUACUCUGCCUCUGCAUAAAUUGGGAUUUAGACCAUAGUU